rnacentral:rRNA from 1 species
CCUACGGGCGGCAGCAGUGGGGGAUAUUGCACAAUGGGGGGAACCCUGAUGCAGCGACGCCGCGUGUGGGAAGACGGUCCUCUGGAUUGUAAACCACUGUCCCCAGGGACGAAAAUGACGGUACCUGGGGCGGACGCUCCGGCUAACUACGUGCCAGCAGCCGCGGUAAUACGUAGGGAGCGAGCGUUGUCCGGAAUUACUGGGUGUAAAGGGAGCGUAGGCGGGGAUGCAAGUUGGGUGUCAAAACUACCGGCUCAACUGGUAGUCGCACUCAAAACUGCAGCUCUUGAGUGAAGUAGAGGCAGGCGGAAUUCCUAGUGUAGCGGUGAAAUGCGUAGAUAUUAGGAGGAACACCAGUGGCGAAGGCGGCCUACUGGACGGUGACUGACGCUGAGGCUCGAAAGCGUGGGGAGCAAACAGGAUUAGAUACCCUAGUAGUC